UAGAGCAUAUUAAUAAAAUCUGCAAAUAAUUCAAUGGACUAAAUGCAUAGAUUUAGAGAACUGUCUGUACAAUUAUAUGCUCAUAUACAUUAAUAUUAGACUGUACAGCAAGAGUAUUCAGAGCUGUACUUGAAUACCAAUAAUUACAUCAGUGGAAAGUUAGAAAAACUUUUGAAAAGGAUUGGGGGACAUAAUGAUUUCAUUUUAUAAUCUGGGGGGAGCCCCCGAUGGCGGUGGGUUAAACUGCUGAGCUGCUGAACUUGCUGACUGAAAGGUAGGUGGUUUGAAUCCAGGGAGCGGAGUGAGCUCCCACUGCUAGCCCCAGCUUGUGCCAACCUAGCAGUUCGAAAACAUGUAAAUGUGAGUAGAUCAAUAGGUACACUCUGGCGGAAAGGUAAUUGCGCUCCAUGCAGUUAUGCCUGCCACAUCAUCUUGGAGGUGUCUACAGACAACGCUGACUCUUUGGCUUAGAAAUGGAAAUGAGCACCAACCCCCAGAGUUGGACACGAAUAGACUUAAUGUCUGGGGAAAACCUUUACCUUUACCUUUUAUAAACUGGGUAUAUAACAAAUUCAAAAGUCUGAGCUGAACACACUGAUUUUUCCUAUAUUCAGUGUUGUAUCUGGUUUUGUGAAAUAGAUUUUGCAGGGUGUUUUUGUUUAAACUCUACAAAGAUCCGAGGUUGCGGCACUUGGACAUGGCGCUUGUGAGAGGAGAGUAUAGGAAAUGCAUUCUUAUACAGUAGAGUCUCGCUUAUCCAAGCCUCGCUUAUCCAAGCUUCUGGAUUAUCCAAGCCAUUUUUGUAGUCAAUGUUUUCAAUAUAUCAUGAUAUUUUGGUGCUAAAUUCGUAAAUACAGCAAUUACAACAUAACAUUACUGCGUAUUGAACUACUUUUCCUGUCAAAUUUGUUGUAUAACAUGAUGUUUUGGUGCUUAAUUUGUAAAAUCAUAACCUAAUUUGAUGUUUAAUAGGCUUUUCCUUAAUCCCUCCUUAUUAUCCAAGAUAUUCGCUUAUCCAAGCUUCUGCCGGCCCGUUUAGCUUGGAUAAGUGAGACUCUACUGUAAUAGGAUAAAUAUCUCCUGUAAGAAUUCAUAUGUAGCAACUCAAUGCAGCUGAAAAGAAAGUACCUUUUUUUUUCAAUCUAAGAAAGCAAGCGGUUUGCUGAUUCUUAACCUUCUUUCCUGAAAUCUCAAAACAUUUUUUCUUUUACCCUCCCAGUGCCAAGGGUAACAUUUUUCCCUCAGUGAACAAUACUUCAAGCCGGUGACCUUUUGGCCCAGAUGGGUUGAAACCCUGUGAUAGAUGUCUGAAGUUGGCCUUGAACUGCAGGAAACAUGUAUUGCAGGCAAUUCCUUGGGUUUGAAGAACUUUCUGGGAAUUGAAAAGGCACCCACAGGAGGCAUUAAUCUACUGGAGCAGCGUGUGGAGUGAUGGACUUCCUUCAUCAUCAUUAAUUCUCUUUCAGCUUCUAGAUCCACAGCAGCUGGACAUGUUCUGCUGGCAGCUUCCUGAACCCCAAUGCCAUAAGUUAAAAAAUGCCCAUUGACAGAGGCCUUUUGUCUCUUUCUCUCUGCCAUCAGAAGUUCAUUCAUGUUGGUCUGCCAGACAGACAAAUAACACAUUUGGCCAAGACUUUGAAUGGACAUCAUCAAAUCUGUCCUUGGGAGAGGGGUGUAUGUUUUGUGCUAAAUAAAUACAAUGUAUGCAGUAAA